rnacentral:tRNA from 2 species
AAGAGUAUAACUUAAUGGUAAAGUAUUUGUCUUCAACACAAAUAAUAGUAGUUCGAUUCUACUUACUCUUG